rnacentral:rRNA from 1 species
GAUGAACGCUAGCGGCAGGCUUAACACAUGCAAGUCGAGGGGUAGAGGCUUUCGGGCCUUGAGACCGGCGCACGGGUGCGUAACGCGUAUGCAAUCUGCCUUUCACAGAGGGAUAGCCCAGAGAAAUUUGGAUUAAUACCUCAUAGCAUAACACAACCGCAUGGUUGAGUUAUUAAAGUCACAACGGUGAAAGAUGAGCAUGCGUCCCAUUAGUUAGUUGGUAAGGUAACGGCUUACCAAGACUUCGAUGGGCAGGGGUCCUGAGAGGGAGAUCCCCCACACUGGUACUGAGACACGGACCAGACUCCUACGGGAGGCAGCAGUGAGGAAUAUUGGUCAAUGGGCGCAAGCCUGAACCAGCCAUGCCGCGUGCAGGAUGACGGUCCUAUGGAUUGUAAACUGCUUUUGUACGAGAAGAAACACUCCUUCGUGAAGGAGCUUGACGGUAUCGUAAGAAUAAGGAUCGGCUAAUUCCGUGCCAGCAGCCGCCGUAA